rnacentral:rRNA from 1 species
GAUGAACGCUGGCGGCGUGCCUAAUACAUGCAAGUCGAGCGAACAGACGAGGUGCUUGCUCCUCUGACGUUAGCGGCGGACGGGUGAGUAACACGUGGAUAACCUACCUAUAAGACUGGGAUAACUUCGGGAAACCGGAGCUAAUACCGGAUAAUAUAUUGAACCGCAUGGUUCAAUAGUGAAAGACGGUUUUGCUGUCACUUAUAGAUGGAUCCGCGCCGCAUUAGCUAGUUGGUAAGGUAACGGCUUACCAAGGCAACGAUGCGUAGCCGACCUGAGAGGGUGAUCGGCCAAACUGGAACUGAGACACGGGCCAGACUCCUACGGGAGGUAGCAGUAGGGAAUCUUCCGCAAUGGGCGAAAGCCUGACGGAGCAACGCCGCGUGAGUGAUGAAGGUCUUCGGAUCGUAAAACUCUGUUAUUAGGGAAGAACAAAUGUGUAAGUAACUAUGCACGUCUUGACGGUACCUAAUCAGAAAGCCACGGCUAACUACGUG